UUUGAAGGGCCGCAGUAUUACUGACUGUGCAAAGGUAGCAUAAUCAUUAGGUUUUUAAUUAGAAUCUUGUAUGAAUGGUUGGACGAAAGAGAUACUGUCUUUAUAAUUAGUUUGAAUUUAACUUAGUGAAAAGGCUUAAAUGGACUAAGGGGACGAUAAGACCCUAUAAAGCUUUACAUUGGGGCUAAAUAAAGUUAAAUUUAUUUUAUAAGAAUUAAAUUUAGUUAUUUGUUAUGUUGGGGAGACAAUAGUAAAAUUUAUAGUAACUGCUGGUUAUAUAAACAAUUUUUGAUGAUUUUUUUAUAGAUCCAUAAUAAUGAUUAUAAGAUUAAGUUACUUUAGGGAUAACAGCGUUAUUUCUUUUGAGAGCUCAUAUCGAAAAAGAAGAUUGCGACCUCGAUGUUGAAUUAAAUUGUCUAUAUAAUGUAGGCGUUAUAUAAGAAGGUCUGUUCGACCUUUAAAUAUUUACAUGAUUUGAGUUCAGACCGGCAUAAGCCAGGUUGGUUUCUAUCUCUUAGUGGAUUAAAAAUUAUUU
rnacentral:rRNA from 1 species